AGACCACAAAGCAUCUCCCCCAUGAAAGGAGCAAGUGAGACAAGAGGAAGUUAAAGAGCCUGGGAGUGAGCGGAGGCAGGCGUAGAUGUCAAGGGGAGGAAAACAAGAAGGCAAAACGGCUCUACUGUUUGUCUGUGAGGAAGGAGAGGGUUUCAGGAAGGAACGACCGGUCAACACUGUACAUUUUCAAAGGUCAGAGAAUUUAAGAGCUGAAAGUUGUGCAGUACGUUCUGAGAACUCAGAGGAAUUUGGAGACCUUCUACCGUGGAGAGGUGCAGGCGGAAGCAAGGAUUUGGUUUUCUCCUGUAUUUCUUCAACCAGAAUCCCCCGCAGAAGCUGGAGUGGAAGGUGCCCAGCAUGGUAACAACCAGCACACAGACAGAACCUGGAAAAGACAAUUUGUUAAUGUUUAUCCUGGCCAGGGGAGCAGGCUGCUGACUGACAGCCACAAAUUCUAUCCAAAAGAGAAGAAGUUGAUUCAUUUGGCUCUACUCGCCUGGGAUGAAAUAAUUCUUGCUGAUACAUCCCAGCCUUUGCUUGGCAGAAUGGUGUUCAAGGAGAGGUAUUGCUGGGAAUCGUCCUGAGUGGAUUGUGGGUUUGCUCAUGUAAUCUGGAAAGUGGGUUCCGAGCCUAAGGACUAUGACACACAGACUUUGGGGUCUGGAAUUUGAACCCCCAUCGGUUUCCCCUACCCCCGAAAGGAAGGACAGACAUCUCAUGACAACUGAGAAUGCUCUCUUGGUCAGCAAAAUCAAGUGUUGAAAUGAUUCCCUGCCGGAUGAUUCAGGCCAAGACAGGAAGGUCUCAGUCAAGUUACAUGUUAAUGGUGCGGGCAGUGCGCAGUUUCAUCCCUCAAAUCAAUCCUUUCUGCAAACUGUGCAGUGUUUGUCAAUGCUAGUCUUCCAGUAUCCAAUCAAGCAUAUCAUUCCCGAAUCCAGAUUUCCAACCCUACCUACAGCUUGAGAAAAGGACUGGCUCUAUAGACGCAUUUGAGGGGCGCCCCGCUGGGUCAUCCAAUAAAAAACAUUGUUUCUGGGGGCGCCUGAGUGGCUCAGUGGGUUGAGGCCUUUGCCGUCCGCUCAGGUCAUG